rnacentral:misc_RNA from 1 species
CAAAAGUGGAAGAGUCUGUUGUGGAAACAGAAAGUAAGAAUGAAAAUUCUAUUGUGACAAGGAGGACACUGAGACAUGCAGAACCCUGUGACCCAAAUCCGAAGGAUAUGAAACAGGCAAAAAUGUAAUUUUGGUCCUGUUAUAUUAAUUAUUUACUCAUCAAUGAAGUGUUUGUGAAUUUUGAUUAAUAUAUCAUACAUAAUAUUUUAUUGUUUUGUCUCCUGCAAUCAAUCAAUUUUACAUGAUUUUAUGCAAUGAUGAAUUAUUGUUUAUUGAUUAUAAUUUGUGAAAAAGAUACUGAAUUUUUUUUUAAUUCAAAAU